AGGGGGGGGGGGAGGCAAAAAACAUGGCGCCGCGUCCUACUUGCGGUGUGGCGCUGGCAGCGCGGGGCCAGCGGCGGCUCGGCGGGGCGGCCUCAGUGUGCCCCCCGCGCCCCAGCCACGGGCCGGGGCUCAGCCUCACGGCCCGCCGGGGACGGCGGCCUGUGCCGCGGCGGUGGCGGGAGCCCUCCUCCCCCUUCCUUCUCCCGUCCUCCUCCUCCUCCUGGCCCAGGAGUUUUUAAACUUUAAAGCGCAGGGUACCUCGGCCUGCCCGCCUUUGUCCCCCGGACACCGCGCUCGGCCACCGGCAACCCGCGGGGCCGCGUCCCGCCGCCUCGCCUCCGCCCUACCCCCAGAGAGCAUCUGGAGAGAGGGAAAAGAGGGAAGAGAGAGAGAAAGGGCGCGUUCAUGAGGACUACAAAGUUACAAAUAUGGCUCCCCAGUCUCUCCUGCCUGAUCACUGCAAAGAAACGAAGACGCACUUUAAACUAAACCGUUUCCAACUCGCUCGCAGCCCCCGCCGGCCUCUCCCUGCCCAGCACCCAGCACAAAUAUUUGCCAACUAAACACGAGAGAGAGGAGCCACCAACUUAUUUUAUUUAAACGCCCGGCAGACCUUCCCCCCCCCCCUCCUCCUCCGCCCGCCCGCCCCCCCCCCCUCGGGCAUCGCGCUCGGUUUAAGGGGAGGGGGGGUCAGGAGCAGCCGUUGCUCCCCAACAUCCCUCCUUUAGACCUUAACGCGCUUGGGGCACCCCGAAUCGGGGUGAGCCCCCCAUCCCCUCCGCGCACAGGUAAGCACCUCAAGGGCAGCAGCGGUUUCCCCCUCGAGGGGUUGGGAUGCGCACCCCUUACCAACAAAAAUAAGAUAAUAAAAAUAAACGCGGGAUGGGUUUUUAUUAUUAUCAUGAUUAUUAUUAUCAUUAUUUUUGCGUUGCUUACAUCUGAGGGCGUCCUGUUCCGCAGCUCUAAGUGGAUCCUUUUCUUCAUGUCCAUGUCCGCGGCUGGCGGUCCCCGGCUCCGCUCGCAGUGACACCGAUGCAGACCCCCCCCCGACGCCGCGGUGAGGGACUUUGAGGGCUCACCCAGCUCCGCUCGGAAUCCCGAGCCCCAGCACCGCGGCGAACACUAACCUGAUAACUGCGGAGGCGGGCGCUCCCGGGGGCUCCGCGCUGAUUGACACCGCCAACAGCCAAUCGCCGCGCCGCACCGCGAAGCCGGAGCCAAUAGGGGCGGGCGAGGGGAGGUGGAAGCCAAUAGGGGAGCGGCGAAAGCGGCCAGGGGGACAGCCCGGCUGGGAGCGGAGGAUCAUUCCGUGCUGGUGGCUGAUGGGGAAGGAGCGGCGGCGGCUCCUCCGCGCUGGGGCUGGGGUUCGCUCUGCCGCCGCUCCCCCCUCCGCGCCCGGCCGGAUCCCGGGGGAGGCGCCGGGGCGCGGGGCGGGGAGCGGCGCUUAGAGCCGGAGGCAGCCCGGGCACAGGGGCGAGCAGCCAGGAGGGAGGGAAAGGGCAGGAUGGAGAUGCUUCUUUCACCUGCCUUGACAGCGGAUAAACUGCGAUGAAAGUGAUUGACAGCUAAGCACAAGCUCUGCUGAGAGCUGGGAGAAAGGUCAAGCUGGAUCCAGCUUAAGGUGUGAACAAAGGUGGCCCCUGGGCUGAGGCUUCCCAAAGGAAGGUUUGGGCUGGAAGUUUGUGUUCAUGGCACUGGUGAAGACCUUUGGAAAAGAGCUUUUAUCAUGGAAACAGGGUGUCUGUUAAGUAGCCAACAUAACAGUUAAAGUUUCUGAGGAUGUGGAGAUACUUUUUCCUUUGUUUCCUCGGAUGAAAGAGCGUGUUGUGUGUUCUAAUGGUAUGGAAUUGUAUAAAGUGCCCCCCUCCAAAGGGUUGGGGGGAACUUACUUGAAGUUCAGACUCGACAUUAAAUGUUUUAACCUGUU